UCUUGAAUUUUGACCAAGUGUAUACCAAAGACGUCACAUUCAUCGUCGACCCUUUCUAAACCUUCUAAUAUUUCGUCGCAUAUGUGACAGUUUUGUUUAUCUGAAAUAGAUACGAAAAUAUCUUUUGUUUUAUCGUUGAAUGUUUAACUGCAAGUUCAAAGAAAAUCUUACAGAAAUAAACAGCAAGAUACUGCGUUUCUUCGACAAAGGCUUCCAACAUUACUCGAGUUAUCAAUUCAACACGAUCUUCAGUUUUUUGUGUGAUCAGCCAUUGCAAUACUUCCUCUUCUACGGACAAGUCACCUAUAAUAAAAACAUUAGAAAGUCUGAAAUUAAGUGCAUAGAGAAAACUCUUAAGAAGAACAUAAUACAAACCUUCGAAUACAUUGGGUAUUUGAUUUUCAAAAUAAACGAGGACUGGAAAAUCAGUAACGCCGUAAUCCUCAGCUACUUUGUGAUCCUACAAGUGAACAGAUCUGUGAUUUUACGUUUAGAUACAAUUUUGUUAAGCAAUAUAUUGAUUCCCAUACAUUGUUCGCAAUUGUCGAUGUCUAUAAGAAUGAAAUCAUUGAAACAUAUUUGUGAUAUAAAUGGAAGGUUAAUAUUUCGAGGAAAUGUGAUGAUAUUUUAUUAUUAUUAUAACAAAUGAAAAAUAAAAAAAGAAAUGGAUUAUAUUUGUAACGUUGGUUGCGAUUGAGCAUGCUAUUUAAGAGCGAAGUUAUGUCUACCGUGCAGAAAGAUACAUAAAUGAAAUAUACUGCCAAGGACUCGGAUUCUCGAAUUAAAUUGAGAAGUUCUUCUCCAUCCAAAGCUUCGAUUGCCUCUCCU
rnacentral:lncRNA from 1 species